GCAGGUGGCCGCAGAGAAUAGGCCCAAGCGACUGUUUACCAAAAACAUAGGUUUCUGCUAAGUCGCAAGACGAUGUAUAGGAGCUGACGCCUGCCCGGUGCUGGAAGGUUAAGGGGAUCUGUUAGAGCAAUCGAAGCAGUGAACUUAAGCCCCAGUAAACGGCGGCCGUAACUAUAACGGUCCUAAGGUAGCGAAAUUCCUUGUCGGGUAAGUUCCGACCCG
rnacentral:rRNA from 1 species